rnacentral:rRNA from 1 species
CCUACGGGUGGGCAGCAGUGGGGAAGAUUGGGCAAUGGGCGCAAGCAUGACCCAGCAACGCUGCGUGAAGGAAGAAGGCUUGCGGUUUGUAAACUUCUUUUCUCAGGGACGAAGCAAGUGACGGUACCUGAGGAAUAAGCCACGGCUAACUACGUGCCAGCAGCCGCGGUAAUACGUAGGUGGCAAGCGUUAUCCGGAUUUACUGGGUGUAAAGGGCGUGUAGGCGGGGACGCAAGUCAGAUGUGAAAACCACGGGCUCAACCUGUGGCCUGCAUUUGAAACUGUGUUUCUUGAGUACUGGAGAGGCAGACGGAAUUCCUAGUGUAGCGGUGAAAUGCGUAGAUAUUAGGAGGAACACCAGUGGCGAAGGCGGUCUGCUGGACAGCAACUGACGCUGAGGCGCGAAAGCGUGGGGAGCAAACAGGAUUAGAUACCCGGGUAGUC